rnacentral:rRNA from 1 species
AAACGGCCUUCGGGUUGUAAACUCUUUCAGUUUGGAAGAAGCGAAAGUGACUUGGUACCUGCAGAAGAAGCACCGGCUAACUACGUGCCAGCUUAGCCGCGGUAAGGGUAGGGUCCCGAGCGUUAUUUCCGGAAUUAUUGGGCGUAAAGAGCUCGUCCACGGUUUGUCGCGUCUGUCGUGAAAGUCCUAGGGGCUUAACCCCGGAUCUGCGGUGGGUACUUGGGCAGACUAGAGUGCAGUGGGGAGACUGAAUUCCUGGUGUAGCGGUGGAAUGCGCAGAUAUCAGGAGGAACACCGAUUUCGAGGCAGGUCUCUGGGCUGUAACUGACGCUGAGGAGCGAAAGCAUGGGGGAGCGAACGGAUUAGAUACCCUGGUAGUCCAUGCCGUAAACGUUGGGACUAGGUGUGACCAUUCCCCACGGUUUCCCGCCGCAAUAACGCAUUAUGCCCCGCCUGGGGAGUACGGCCGCAAGCUAAAACUCAAGGAAUUGACGGGGGCCCGGAGCACAANCGGCGGAGCAUGCUAGGGAUAAUUCGAUGCAACGCAAGAACC